UACGUAGGGUGCAAGCAUUCAUCGGUAUUAUUGGGCGUAAAGGGCGCGUAGGCGGAGAUGUAAGUCAGAUGUGAAAUCCCGGGGCUCAACCCCGGAACAGCAUUUGAAACUGCGUUUCUAGAGGGUAGGCGGAGAAAACGGAAUUCCACAAGUAGCGGUGAAAUGCGUAGAUAUGUGGAAGAACACCAGCGGCGAAGGCGGUUUUCUAGCUUAUACCUGACGCUAAAGCGAGAAAGCAAGGGGAGCAAACAGG
rnacentral:rRNA from 1 species